UACGUAGGGGGCAAGCGUUGUCCGGAAUCAUUGGGCGUAAAGCGCGUGUAGGCGGCUAGGUAAGUCUGCUCUGAAAGCCCGGGGCUCAACCCCGGGAGGCGGGUGGAUACUGUCUAGCUAGAGUCCGGAAGAGGAGAGUGGAAUUCCUGGUGUAGCGGUGAAAUGCGCAGAUAUCAGGAAGAACACCCGUGGCUAAGGCGGCUCUCUAGUACGGUACUGACGCUGAGACGCGAAAGCGUGGGGAGCGAACAGG
rnacentral:rRNA from 1 species